UGGCCAGGGAGCCGCAGGCAAGGGACUAAGGGGAGGGGGGCUCAGUGCCAGCUGCUUAAAAAUGCCCCUGUGGCAGCGAGGGGCACCAGAGGCUGGGUCUAAUUAGUUGAGAAGCAGUGACACCCCCAACCACUCCCCAAACAGGCUGGCUCCCGUCUCCAGGCCCCAAGGAGCCACACCUGGACCAGACCCCAGGAAAGACAUGUGGUGGAAACCCUACGGCCCUGGAGCCCAAGGAGAGCAACGGCUGUAACAAGUGCACAGGUUUGAGUGCGCUGAGACAGGGGAACCGUGGGCAAAGAGGUCCCUCCAGAAAGAGCUGGGUGUGAGCAUGGGUUCGUGAGCUUGCCUGGAGCCCUGGCCUCAGCCCUCUCUCACUGAGGUGCCAUCUGGCUCGCAGAUGUGGCCCAUUCCCAGCCCCUCGUGUUUCUUGGAAAUGAGAAAGUCCAGGAAAGGGCACAGGGGCUUUCGCAACGACCGUGGCGAUGAUAGCUUUGACGUGUGGUCAUCCAGCCGGCCACUGCCCACACCCAAGAGAAAGCUGGAUUGAGCAUCAGGAGCCUGGGUUCAAGUCUGCCUCUCAAGCUGUUCCACAGGUGACCCUGGGCAAAUCGCACAGGCUCCUGGAACUUCAGAAAGGGGAAGAAUUAUUCCUGCCUCUGGCGACAUCAGCGAAUGUGCCUUGAGUUACGGGAGUGUUUUGAAGGCUGAAAGCUUUGUGUACACGGAAGGGGUCAAAGACAGCCACAAGCCUGUCCCUUUGGUCUUGGUCAUCAUGUUAACCCCAGGUUUCGAUUUAAUCCUACAUGCUCCUUUCUUAUGUGUGAGGCUGAGGUGGGGGCAUUGGUCAGAGGAGCCUCUGGGAAAUUUCCUUUCAGGACAGUUCUUUUGUUAAGGGGCCUGGGUGUGCUGAGAAGGGAAGGUGGCUCCUCCUGCUCUUGGAGCUUGGAGUUUCUCACAAGCUCUCCCUUAAAAGCCAGGCAGGCCAAGAAGGGAUAAUGGCUGCUCAGGGCCCAAGGGGCAGGAUCUCUGAGGCCCGGAAGAUCUCAGUAGGUUUAGCCCAAGAGUAUCCAGAAGUGGCCCAGGCCCAUUCUCCAUCCCUCAGAGCCUGGCAGCCUGGUCAGGACCCUCAAAGGCCAUGACCGUACCCGUAGGGCACCCUGGUGUCCUUCUGACAGGUGGGAUCUUUGUUUCUUACAGGCAAGGGCGCUAGCUGGUGGGAGCCACCCCGCCAUGCUGAUGUCAGAGAAGCAAGAACUCUGGAGAAGCAGCCUCCUGGGACCAGAGGAGGGCCAGCAGCAGGCAGCCCGGAGACAGAACUGUGAGCCCACCCCACCUCCACCCUUCCGGCACCCACAUCCGCUCCCCACCCCAGCCCACCUGCAGGUGGCUCCUGGAGUAUCCUGGGUCCCUCAGGAUAAACUCCCCACCCUAACCUCAGAAUGACCAAGAAACUGGGCCUGAGGAUGACAAGAAGCAGAAUGGGCCUUGGUAAAGGAAGACCCCCCACUGAUUGGUGGCAGUGCGGGCAGUUCAGGGCUGUCAGCGUCUGGGUUGUAGGUAAAAAGAAAUGGAACCCAAGAAGGGAAAUCCAACUAGGAGCCAAGAAUCCGGUCUACCCCAUCCUCCUUACGAAAUAGCAAUGCAAAGCCCGUGUGAUUUGGACAUAAAGCCUCUGUUACUCAACUUGAUUCGGUGAAUAACAGACUUGAAAGAAAUGUGGAAAAUAAUAGUAAUCUUCCCUAGAAAGGAGUAAACAGGGUUGAGCUCCCAAAGCAGGAAGACCUGGGGCUGUGUGAUCUUGGACGAGUCACUCAACCUCUCUGAGCCUAGUGAUAAAGAGCCAGCUCAUAGGGCUUUGAGAGGAUUUGUGAGGUUGGGCUGGUGUCCCCAGGCACAGCCCUUGGCACAUAGUGAAACUCAAGAAAACAGAGCAGUUUUUACCAUUCAUCACAUUAUUCCCACACUUGCCAAUUUUUUAAGUUCAUGCACAUGGUGGAACAGGUAGGGUGAGGUGCCAGCUCCAUAAGAUGAGUGGAGAAACUGAGGCCUGGAGAGGUGAAAGCAUUCACUCAGAGUUGCAUGUAGAGUCAGUUGCAAAGGAGAAUUCUGGCACCAGUUCUCAUGUGGAUGGAAAAAGUGCAGGAAGAUUUGGAGGUGAGCAGAGGAGAAGGGAGGAGGAGGCCGGGUUCCAGGAAAGGAGCUGACAUCCAGGGAUGUGGGACAAGGCCCAGGCCUGUCUUACAUAACAUGGUCCACCUGUUCACCCCUGCAGGCCCCACAAAUGUGUGCAAACGUGCACCCCGGCACAGCGCACACCCAGUCCUCCCUCACUGGCAAAUAAGCCACAGAGACUGGGUUUAAACAAAUUGGAUUAGGAGGGCUACAGGCGCCUCCUCCCCCCGACUGUCCGGCUCCGACACUAAACAGACCUGCAGAACUGCCAGCUGUGGUCUCUCGGACACACUGACAGUCGGUCCUUGGCUCCCUCACCCCACCCGUGGGCCUCAGGAAGGGGGUUGGGGUCUGAGAGGAUGCCACAGUGAUGGAUGGGGUGAGGGAGGUUCCAGGGCUAGCUCAACAGCGCACAGGAUGUUAGUGCUUUUGCGAGGCACAUUUCCGAGCUGUUCCCAGACCCGCCCCCACUUCCCCCCUCACCCUCCCCUCCGGCAGCCUCUCCCAUGGCCACUGCUGCGGGCUGUGAGCAGAGCCCCGUCCUUGAGCAGAUUGACCUCAUCUUUCAGUCCUGCAGCUGGGCUGAGCGGGGAGUCAGCUCAGAAGACACUGGCCUGGGGAUGAGACUCGGGGCAUGCUUCAGAGGGAAGAAAGAGCUUCUGAACAGACAAUGCUGUCUUAAAGGUGGCAUCUUGGUGCUUUCUCAUGCCUUGUUUUCUUUCAUCCUCAGAAUGUGUCUGGGGGUGAGAGGACGGGUGUGACUGCUGAAACUUCCUUUCUUGGUGAUUCCACAUCACUCCUUUCUGAUCCCUGAGCCUGUGCCACGCCCUGUGUGAUGUGCCGGGGACACCAGGGUGAAUACUUACAGGCCCUGUUCCCCUUCCUUCAUGAAACAGCCUCCUUCGGGCUGGGUCACUGGGCACUGGGGCCUCCCUGGUCUUCCAGGAUUGCAACUUCACAGAAUCCCUUUUCCAUAAGGCACAUGAAAGUGACUGUGACCCGCAACGGGAGCCUUGACAACCAGCCAAUUCAGAACACAGACCUUGACAUCGGAAGGCCCCGAGUUCAAAUCCUGCCUUGCUCCCUUUCAGCUGGAAAGCUGUGGUCAAAUUACUUAGCCUCUCCAAGCCAGUUUUCCCUUCUGCAAAAUGAGGUUACACAAGCUGCCACCUCACAGAAUGAGUGUGAGAAUUAAUUCUUAUUUUCCACACCCUCAUUUGACAGGGGGAGAAACAGAAGCCCAGAGAGGGAAAGGGCUUGGUUAGGAUCACACCAUGAGUUGGGGGUUAAGUCAGGAUGGGGUAGGUCCCCUCUUUCUCUGGGUGUUCCUCUCCCCCAUCCCUUAUCUCAACAUAAAUCCUCCCCAGUUGCCCAGGUUGUCCAGGCGAUUCCUGGCACACGUCCUGGGGCCUGCCCUCCACCUUUAGCCCUGCUCUGGCUUCUGCAGCAGCAGAGUCCUGGGUGACCAGCAGUGGCCCCUGGCCCUCUGAGUGGUGGUGGAGGGUGGGGGUGCACUGCAGCAAGCUCCCAGCCCAGAGCAGCCUGGCCAUAUAAGGGAAGGAGCUCAGGGAGGCCUCCUGGCUCAGGCCUGGCGAGAAAACCCAGACAGCCACUGUUUAUUUUCUCCUCCCCAGCUCACCCACGCCUCUCCAAGCCUCCCAACAGAAGACAGAGGUCCCCCACAGCCAGAGACAUUUCCUGAAGACAUGGGGAACACAGAGGCAGAAACAGCCCAUCCACCCAGGAGCUGUCCCCCACACUGCCGGGAGCCGGCACCCAGAGCCGCCAGGUAAAACUGAGGCCACCUGGUUCAACAUCACCUUUCACAGAAGGGGAAGCAGCCACAGAAAGAAGGGCCUCGUUAAGAAGUGGAACCUGGGACCCCCAAGCGGUGUCUCUCAUCCUGACUGGGGAUCCAGAGUAGGAGGGAGCCUUUGGUGGGGUAAGUGGAAUGGGGCGGGGUGGGGGGUGGCCAUAGACCCCUCUUCUCAGUAAGGCCCUCAUGUGAAGGAGGCAGGGGUUGGGACAAGUGCUAAGUAUGCAAGACUCAAGGGAAGAGCUGCUGGAGCCAGGAGAAGCACCUCCCUCCCGGCCCCUCUGCCCCUCCUCAUAGCCCAGCUGCACUGACUCCUCCUCCAGGAAGCCUUCUCAGCUUCCCCAGGGGUGGGAACCUUUUUGUCCUCCAGGUGUGCUUGGCUGUCCUUUCUUGGGCUCUCUCUCUCUCUCUCUCCUCAUCCCACUUGAGUCUGCCCCCUAUUCACCUUGUGAGGGGAAUUUUCCUUCUACUCAAUCUGACCGAGGUCCUCCAGGUCAAGGACAGCGAGGCUCUCAGUCCCACUUCCCCUUGGCACAUAGAAGAGGCAGUGCGCUGAAGGGACAGGUGAAAUGAUUAGACCCUGCCCCCAAACCAAGGCCUGGCCAAUUGGACAGGGCAUGAGACAUUCAGCGUAGAGGUUAAAACGAGGGCCCUGGGUUAGGAACCCCAGCUCAGUUCUCAGCUCUGUACCCUUGGAAAAUUCCCUUCCCAUGGAGCUUUGUGGAUGCACAAGGACUUGCACAAAGAAAACAUUCAAUAUCCAGGACUAUAAAAUUCCACAAAUGAUUGUGCUUAUUACAUUCAUUAUCACGAUGAUUAUUCCAGACACAAAGGAACAGAACGAGGCACCAACAGCAAGGGGCAAGCAGAUUCAAGGGCCACAGAGGAGAUGGAGGCAAACACCUUCCCCUGGUCAGAGGCUGUGCCUCAGCCCUUCUCCCUGCAUCAGUUUCUCCUUCAGAAGCAUGGGACUACCUCCCAUCUAGUUCUCGUUUCUAAACCUAGGGGAGAUGCUAUCUUUGCUGCAAUAAUCUUAGCCUACAUCUUGGAAUGGAAAUGGCCUUGGUGGAAAUGGUCUUCAACUCCUCUGGUCCAAGCUCAGGCCCUGUGACCCUGGAACAAUCCCCUUCCUGGUCCUCCAUGUAGGAGCAAUAACAUUCCCUUGCCAGCAGCACCAGCCAUUCUGAUGAUUAAAUGGUAUCGGACUCUGUUUUCCAAACUCAGUCAUUCAGAUGCCCCCUAUUUUAUUUCUUCCAUGUCUGCAAAUGAUUAUAAUAUUUUUAAAUGUAGGAUGAGUCCUUUUUAUUACACAUAGAAAUAGCUACUGUAAAUAGCAAACUCUAACACUGUGCCUAAUUAGGAAAUAAAGGUAACCAUAAAUACAGUAAAAAUGAAACAAUGUUAUUAUGGUUUAACCUGAUAGUGUGGCUUGCAAGGCCCUGGGCCUGAAGCCUGGGCAAUAAGUGAGAGUUAGAAAGGUGUCAAAGACAUGAUAGCAGCAAACUGAGGCUUUGUACCCCACGGUAAAUAGGACUGAAAGCAAAUUCACAGGGAGCAACUGAUCCAUUCCACAACAGAAUGCUCCCUGUCAAUUCGCUUUCCAUUCUGUUGUGUCCUGUCUCCCAGCAGAGACUACAAACUCCCCAAAACCACUUACCCACCAGCUGCACGUGAGAAGCCAAAGGUAGUUUAUGUGAAAGGGCUUUGGAAAUAAUCACGCACCAAGUGAAGGCAGAGGACACACCUUGUCAGCUUAGUUCUCAGCAGCAAAUCAUCUCUUUUCCAGGAUAACCCUCCCUGAUUCUUAUUGAAAUCUCUUUGCUGACCACACUAAGCUCUUCUCUCUCAGGGGCAGUGGGAGCCGUGGAGAGUGGAAUAGACCAGCUGUCUGUGACCUGCGAGGGAGUCCAAUGUCGGAAUCACUCCCCAGCCAAAUGCACGGUUUUAAAAAAUCUAUUUAUUUAUUUAUGUAGAGACCAGGCUAUGAGACUGGCUAAUUUUUCGUAUUUUUGGAUAGAGACAGGAUUUCAUCGUGUUGCCCAGGCUGGUCUUGAACUCCUGGGCUCAAGCGAUCCACCUGCCUCGGCUUCCCAAAGUGCUCAGGAUUACAGGCGUGAGCCACUGUGCCCAGCCACCAAAUGCAGUUGAAAAGAGUUUCUGCAAGAUAAUUCCACAGAAGAGGAAAGCAGUUAUCUGGCUGGGAAUACCUUAGACAGAGGCUGUCCUCUACACAGGCUGUCAGAACUGACCUACUGACCUGCCUGCUGGCAUGAUAGACCAGAGGGAAACACUCUUUCCACUCUUCCCAGACUGAGUGUAAGAGACAGACUUUUUUUUUUUUUUUUGAGACGGAGUCUCACUCUGUCACCCAGGCUGGAGUGCAAUGGCAAGAUCUCGGCUCACUGCAACCUCCACCUCCCCGGGUUCAAACCAUUCUCCUGCCUCAGCCUCCCAGGUAGCUGGGAUUACAGGCUCCCGCCACCACGCCUGGCUAAUUUUUGUAUUUUUAGUAGAGACAGGGUUUCACCAUGUUGGCCGGGCUGGUCUCGAACUCCCAACCUCAGGUGAUCCGCCUACCUUGGCCUCCCAAAGGGUUGGGAUUACAGGUGUAAGCCACUGCUCCCAGCCUUUUUUUUUUUUUUUAUUAGAGACAAGGGCUCCCCAUGUUGCCCAGGCUGAUCUUGAACUCUAGGCUCAAGCGAUCCUCCUGCCUGAGCCUCCCAAAGUGCUAGGAUUACAGGCAUGAGCACUGCUCCCAGCUCUGUUUUUGUUUUUUUAAGGAGGUAUAUUUUUUCUGUUCUCUCUCAGCCCUGAAGAAAGGCUACCCAUCCCCUUCAGACAUUCCUGAAAAUAUAUGUCAUCCAACAUCAAGGCCACCACAGUGACCACUAAGCAAUGCAAGAAGGUCCUCUGGGGUGCCCUGAGAUCUUGGCAGGGCAGGAAGAGUGAGAAGGGGCUUUGCCUGCUCACCUGAAAGUUCCCACCCAAGCCGGGCCCAGAAAACAAAAUGAAUUAUCUACAUGGUCAUCCAAUCAGCCACCAAAUGGCAUUACCUAGGUCCAUCAUCAUGUACCAAGCCACAGGUCAGACCCAGGGCCCCCCAAAUUAACAAGACACAGGCACUGUCCUCAGGAAGUGGAGAUCUAGCCAGGUCAGACCCACACACAAAUAACACUGAUACUAGAGAUAAUGAGAUUGGGAAUUAUGAUUCAGCCAUUCAACCUGGGCUUAUGUGGCAUCUACACCACCUGGCCCUGAUUUCAGUAGUGAGCACAGUUGACAGGGUCCCUUCCCUUCACAGGUGAGCCAUGUAGUCCACAAGUGGAGGUGGUCGUAAGUGAAAACCACAUUACCAGCAUGGUAAAGGGUUAGAAAGAGGGCACCGGGUGGGCGAGAACAUGAAGCAGGGGGUGCUGAUGGCUAAAGAAGUAAAGGAGGGGCUGGGCACUGUGGUUCAUGCCUAUAAUCCCAGCACUUUGGGAGACCAAGGCGGGUGGAUCACCUGAGGUCAGGAGUUCUAGACCAGCCUGGGCAACGUGGUGAAACCCUGUCUCUACUAAAAAUACAAAAAUUAGCCAGGCAUGGUGGUGCACGCCUGUAGUCCCAGCUACUUGGGAGGCUGGGGCAUGAGAAUUGCUUUAACCCGGAAGGUGGAGUUUGCAGUGAGCCGAGAUCGUGUCACUGCACUCCAGCCUGGGCGACAGAGGGAGACUCUGUCUCAAAAAAAAAAAAAAGUCAAGGAGGGUUUCCCAGAGUGGCCACUUGAUUAGAGACCUAGCACAGGAGGAAGAGAUGGGCAGGGAGAGUGACGGGGAGCAGCACAGUCCCUGGGAGCCCGAAGUGGGUGGGCACAGGGCUCCCUAGGAGAAUGGAAGGACAUCUAUGAGCUGUAGCCCAAGAGGAAGAGGUCACUGGGGCUAGAUGCGGCAGACCCUCGCAGGCUUUGGGAAGGGCUUCAGAAUUCAGCCUGAGGGCAAUGGGGAGCCCUUUUGGGAUAUUAAACUUGAGUAAGAUAUGAGCAUAUUUGCAUCUUGAAAAAUCAUUAUGGGAAGAUGGCUGGGAAGAGAGGAGGAGUGGCAGAAGAAAGAUAGGUUGGAGACAAUUGAUUGCUCGAUGAUAUAAAAUGUUAAGUACCAUGAAUGAUGCUGUUAGGCUGGAAUGCGCCAAGCAUAAAGGUGGGGCAUGGCAUCAAAAGGUAGGUCAACAUAUUAAAUAAUUCCAUGUAUUGAAAUAUCCAGAAAAUAUAUAGACAGAUCUAUAGAGAUAGAAACUGGUCUGCCCAGGACUAGGGGUUGUCUAAGGAUAAGGAGCUUCUUUUUUGGAUGGUGAAAUAACCUAAAAUAUAUUGUGCCAUUGUUUGCACAACUUUGUGAAUAUAUUAAAAACCUGUUAAUUGUACUCACUAAA
ensembl:lncRNA CARMN cardiac mesoderm enhancer-associated non-coding RNA